GAUUGUACUCCUACGGGAGGCAGCAGUGGGGAAUAUUGGACAAUGGACCAAAAGUCUGAUCCAGCAAUUCUGUGUGCACGAUGACGUUUUUCGGAAUGUAAAGUGCUUUCAGUUGGGAAGAAAAAAAUGACGGUACCAACAGAAGAAGUGACGGCUAAAUACGUGCCAGCAGCCGCGGUAAUACGUAUGUCACAAGCGUUAUCCGGAUUUAUUGGGCGUAAAGGGCGUCUAGGUGGUUGUGUAAGUCUGAUGUGAAAAUGCAGGGCUCAACUCUGUAUUGCGUUGGAAACUGCACAACUAGAGUACUGGAGAGGUAAGCGGAACUACAAGUGUAGAGGUGAAAUUCGUAGAUAUUUGUAGGAAUGCCGAUGGGGAAGCCAGCUUACUGGACAGAUACUGACGCUAAAGCGCGAAAGCGUGGGUAGCAAACAGGAUUAGAUACCCGAGUAGUCCU
rnacentral:rRNA from 1 species